GAUGAACGCUAGCUACAGGCUUAACACAUGCAAGUCGAGGGGCAUCAGGAAGAAAGCUUGCUUUCUUUGCUGGCGACCGGCGCACGGGUGAGUAACACGUAUCCAACCUGCCCUUUACUCGGGGAUAGCCUUUCGAAAGAAAGAUUAAUACCCGAUGGCAUAAUGAUUCCGCAUGGUUUCAUUAUUAAAGGAUUCCGGUAAAGGAUGGGGAUGCGUUCCAUUAGGUUGUUGGUGAGGUAACGGCUCACCAAGCCUUCGAUGGAUAGGGGUUCUGAGAGGAAGGUCCCCCACAUUGGAACUGAGACACGGUCCAAACUCCUACGGGAGGCAGCAGUGAGGAAUAUUGGUCAAUGGGCGCUAGCCUGAACCAGCCAAGUAGCGUGAAGGAUGAAGGCUCUAUGGGUCGUAAACUUCUUUUAUAUAAGAAUAAAGUGCAGUAUGUAUACUGUUUUGUAUGUAUUAUAUGAAUAAGGAUCGGCUAACUCCGUGCCAGCAGCCGCGGUAAUACGGAGGAUCCGAGCGUUAUCCGGAUUUAUUGGGUUUAAAGGGAGCGUAGGUGGACUGGUAAGUCAGUUGUGAAAGUUUGCGGCUCAACCGUAAAAUUGCAGUUGAUACUGUCAGUCUUGAGUACAGUAGAGGUGGGCGGAAUUCGUGGUGUAGCGGUGAAAUGCUUAGAUAUCACGAAGAACUCCGAUUGCGAAGGCAGCUCACUGGACUGCAACUGACACUGAUGCUCGAAAGUGUGGGUAUCAAACAGGAUUAGAUACCCUGGUAGUCCACACAGUAAACGAUGAAUACUCGCUGUUUGCGAUAUACAGUAAGCGGCCAAGCGAAAGCAUUAAGUAUUCCACCUGGGGAGUACGCCGGCAACGGUGAAACUCAAAGGAAUUGACGGGGGCCCGCACCAGCGGAGGAACAUGUGGUUUAAUUCGAUGAUACGCGAGGAACCUUACCCGGGCUUAAAUUGCAGUGGAAUGAUGUGGAAACAUGUCAGUGAGCAAUCACCGCUGUGAAGGUGCUGCAUGGUUGUCGUCAGCUCGUGCCGUGAGGUGUCGGCUUAAGUGCCAUAACGAGCGCAACCCUUAUCUUUAGUUACUAACAGGUUAUGCUGAGGACUCUAGAGAGACUGCCGUCGUAAGAUGUGAGGAAGGUGGGGAUGACGUCAAAUCAGCACGGCCCUUACGUCCGGGGCUACACACGUGUUACAAUGGGGGGUACAGAAGGCAGCUAGCGGGUGACCGUAUGCUAAUCCCAAAAGCCUCUCUCAGUUCGGAUCGAAGUCUGCAACCCGACUUCGUGAAGCUGGAUUCGCUAGUAAUCGCGCAUCAGCCACGGCGCGGUGAAUACGUUCCCGGGCCUUGUACACACCGCCCGUCAAGCCAUGGGAGCCGGGGGUACCUGAAGUACGUAACCGCAAGGAUCGUCCUAGGGUAAAACUGGUGACUGGGGC
rnacentral:rRNA from 1 species